UCAAGCUACUAAGGGUACAUGGUGGAUGCCUAGGCGUCGAGAGGCGAUGAAGGACGUGGUAGGCUGCGAUAAGCCCCGGGGAGCUGUCAAACGAGCAUUGAUCCGGGGAUGUCCGAAUGGGGAAACCCGGCAUCACUCCGCAAGGAGAUGAUGUCACGGCGGGCUGAAUGCAUAGGCCCGUACGAGCUAACCCAGGGAACUGAAACAUCUCAGUACCUGGAGGAAAGGAAAUCAACCGAGACUCCGUCAGUAGCGGCGAGCGAAAGCGGACCUAGCCCAAACCGGUCUUCGGACCGGGGUUGCGGGAACCGAGAGCGGUUACAAAAGUCUUGCCAACCGAAGUACCUGGAAAGGUGCACCACAGAAGGUGACAGUCCUGUAGGUGACGGCAACGACUCCGCGUUACCAUCGGUUUACCAGAGUAGCACGGUGCUCGUGGAACUCCGUGUGAAGCUGGGGGGCCCACCCUCCAAGGCUAAGUACUCCUCGACGACCGAUAGUGAACAAGUAAGGUGACUGAAAGGUGAAAAGAACCCCUACUAGGGGAGUUAAAAGAACCUGAAACCAUGUACUUACAAGCGGUGGGAGCCCGAUGGUGGUCUUCGGAUCACCCGGGUGACCGCGUACCUUUUGCAUAAUGGACCGGCGAGUUACCUUCAGCGGCAGGUUAAGCACUUCCGGUGCGGAGCCGAAGCGAAAGCGAGUCUGAAUAGGGCGUUAAGUCGUUGGAGGUAGACCCGAAACCAGGUGAUCUACCCAUGGCCAGGUUGAAGUGCCCGUAAAAGGGCGCGGAGGACCGAACUCGUGAACGUUGAAAAGUUCUGAGAUGAGCUGUGGGGAGGAGUAAAAGUCUAAUCAAACCUGGAGAUAUCUGGUUCUCCUCGAAAUGCCUUUAGGGGCAGCCUCGAGCCACUACGCUGUGGGGGUAGAGCUACUGAAUGAAACGCGGGGGCCACCAGCCUGCCGCCUUCAAUCAAACUCCGAAUACCACAGCGACUAUCUCGGGAGUGAGUCUGCGGGUUCAAUAUCCAUAGACAAAAGGGAAAAAACCCAGAUCGCCUGCUAAGGCCCCCAAUUCAUGCUCAGUGCAUAAGGAAGUCUAGUUUCUGAGACAGCGGGGAUGUUGGCUUAGAAGCAGCCACCAUUUAAAAAGUGCGUAACAGCUUACCCGUCGAGAGACUGGGCGCCGAUAAUGAACGGGACUAAGCAUGAAGCCGAAGCAGCGGGCUUGCGUAGCCUACGGGCGAAACAAGCGGUAGAGGAGCGUUGAUAGGCAGAUACAGGCCAUACCGUAAGGAGUGGUUGCGGGCCUAUCAAGUGAGAAUGCCGGUAUGAGUAACGAGAAAGCGGGUGUAAAUCCCGCUCGCCGAAAGCCUAAGGUUUCCUGGGGAAGGUCAAUCCGCCCAGGGUUAGCCGGAUCCUAAGGCGAGGCCGAAAGGCGUAGUCGAUGGACAGCAGGUUAAUAUUCCUGCGCCGUGUCAUGCGGUUGAACUGUACGUGCGUUUUUCCAAGCUGCAGCCCACCAUUAGACGUGAGGGUUCCCGAAAGGGCGAGGCCGAUUCGUUGCUGAAGUGCGGGGAGGAAGAACCGAGAAAAGCGUGCAGGGACAAGUGGCACGUCCGUACUAAAACUGACACAGGUAGGCGAGGCGAGUAGCCUCAGGCGCUCGAGAGAACGGUCCUUAAGGAACUAGGCAAAUUUGCCCCGUAACUUCGGGAUAAGGGGUCCCUCCUCCGUUUGGCAACACUCGGAGAGGGCACAGCAAAGCGGCUCUGGCGACUGUUUAUCAAAAACACAGGUCUCUGCUAAGUCGAACAGACAACGUAUAGAGACUGACGCCUGCUCGGUGCCGGAAUGUUAAGGAAGCAGGUUAGCCGCAAGGCGAAGCUUGCGACCGAAGCACCGGUAAACGGCGGCCCUAACUAUGAGGGUCCUAAGGUAGCGAAAUUCCUUGUCGGGUAAGUUCCGACGCGCAUGAAUGG
rnacentral:rRNA from 1 species